GGACUACCGGGGUUUCUAAUCCUGUUUGCUCCCCUAGCUUUCGAGUCUUAGCGUCAGUUAAGGCCCAGGCAUUCGCCUUCGCCGCCGGUGUUCUUCCCGAUAUCUGCGCAUUUCACCGCUACACCGGGAAUUCCAAUGCCCCCUGCCCAACUCAAGACGCCCAGUAUCCGCAGACCCCUCCCGGUUAAGCCGGGAGAUUUCACUACGGACUUAGGCACCCGCCUACACUCGCUUUACGCCUAGUGAUUCCGAAUAACGCUCGCCACCUACGUCUUACCGCGGCUGCUGGCAC
rnacentral:rRNA from 1 species